AGCGGUUUGGCGCCAAACGUCUGGGUCUCCGACGCGUUGGACGCCUGUCUCAGCGUUCUGGUUCCGAAUCAGAAUCCCUGAGGACUAGAAAGCCCCGGCCGGGGGCGGGAUUCGAAUACCUUGAGAACCUGGGGGAGACUGUCGUUCAAUAUGAAGGAGGAUCAAGUAGUGCUGGAAGAACCGGGAUUCCAAGAUGAAGACGAAUCUUUGUUUCAAGACAUUGACCUGUUACAAAAACAUGGAAUUAAUGUGGCCGACAUUAAGAAACUGAAGUCGGUAGGCAUCUGUACCAUCAAAGGGAUACAGAUGACAACAAGAAGAGCCCUAUGCAAUGUCAAAGGACUCUCAGAAGCAAAAGUGGACAAAAUUAAAGAAGCAGCCAACAAGCUUAUUGAACCAGGAUUCUUGACUGCAUUUGAAUAUAGUGAGAAGAGGAAGAUGGUUUUCCAUAUCACCACUGGGAGCCAGGAAUUUGAUAAGUUGCUAGGAGGUGGAAUUGAAAGCAUGGCAAUCACAGAAGCUUUUGGAGAAUUUCGAACUGGAAAAACCCAACUCUCUCAUACCCUCUGUGUGACAGCUCAACUUCCAGGAGCAGGUGGCUACUCAGGAGGAAAGAUUAUCUUCAUCGAUACAGAAAAUACUUUCCGUCCAGAUCGCCUUCGGGACAUUGCUGAUCGCUUCAAUGUAGACCAUAAUGCAGUCCUGGACAAUGUACUUUAUGCACGUGCAUAUACUAGUGAACAUCAGAUGGAGCUACUUGAUUAUGUAGCAGCAAAGUUCCAUGAAGAAGCUGGCAUCUUUAAGCUACUGAUCAUUGAUUCAAUAAUGGCACUUUUCCGAGUGGAUUUCAGUGGUCGUGGGGAGUUGGCUGAACGGCAGCAAAAACUGGCCCAGAUGUUGUCACGACUCCAAAAAAUAUCAGAAGAAUAUAAUGUAGCUGUGUUUGUGACCAAUCAAAUGACUGCUGACCCAGGAGCAACCAUGACUUUUCAAGCAGACCCCAAAAAACCCAUUGGGGGACACAUUCUGGCUCAUGCUUCAACAACAAGAAUAAGUUUGCGAAAAGGAAGAGGAGAGCUGAGAAUUGCCAAGAUUUAUGACAGCCCUGAGAUGCCUGAAAAUGAAGCCACCUUCGCAAUAACUGCUGGAGGAAUUGGGGAUGCCAAGGAGUAGGUGGCGAAUUGAUGCAGAUUGCUUCUUAGUGCUUAUUAGGAGCUGAAGAAAUGGAAAAGCAGUCUUAAAUUUCAGAUCUUGAAGGGCAGAGAGAGACUCAAAAAAGAGAUGCUACUGGUCAGGACUAUUUUGAUUGCAAGCCACAGAAACUCAAACUAGCAAAUGGAAGACAUGAAUUCAUUGGCUCAAGAGACUGAGAAGUCCACAAGUAGAGCUGAUGACCGUAGCCACCCACGGCUGAAGCCAAGAUGUCUAACAGAAUCAUCAGAACAUUUCUCUCUGCCUCCGUCUCCUGCUUUGCUCAUUUUCAUGCUGCUAUUGUUCUUUCUCAGACUCUCCCCACAUAGUAAGUAGCCAAAAUGCUGCUUGUAGCUCUAGACUUACAUCCCACUAGAAAAGGCAUGCCUUUUUCCUCCAUAGAUUAUUCAUUCUGUGGAAACAAGCAAAAACCACCAAAUGAGAACAGAGGCUAUUUAUUCAGAGUUGCUACAGCAAGAGUCUGUGACCUUAAUUUGCUUUUGGUAGAGAGGCAAAGGCAGGCAGAGGAAUGGGAAGGCUUUAUAGAGGAAAGAAGGAAAGGCUUCAGGUACGCUCUGAUUGGAGGCUGUUGGCAUGGAGAGUUGGAAGAUUAAUUUAGAGAUGUGGAAAACAGAUAAGGGAAAUAAUACUGGCAUCAGGGAGCUAAUUUAGGAAACAGUUAUGAUAAAUCAAUUGUUAGGUGAUAAAGAAUGGGCCUGGGGUGGUAGCAGUGAAAUGGAUAAACAGUUCAAAAAGGUAGUGAAGAUUUGGUGUGAGACUGAAUAUAAAAAGAGGAAGAGAAGGCAGAGUCACAGGUGACUUGACAAAGUUCUUUAACCUAUGAGAGGAGAUUAUGUUUGUAUCAUGAAUACAAAUGAAGAAGUGUCAAAUAAAGACUAGGGACUUUACCUGGGAGGGUAAGUUUCUAUUAGUUUGCUAAGGCUGCCAUAAUAAAGCACCACAAACUUAGAUGGCUUCAGUUCAGUUGCUCAGUCGUGUCUGGUUCUUU